CGAACCCCCCCACAUGGUAGCGAUCCAACUAAAGAUUUUGAUUCCAGUGGGGACAGCUAUGAUCAUGGUAGCUGCGGUGAAGUAGGCACGGGUAUCUACGUCUAAGCCCACAGUAAACAUAUGAUGAGCCCAAACAAGAAAUCCUAAGACACCAAUACUGAUCAUGGCAUAAACCAUGCCUAGAUACCCGAAGACCGGUUUUCCCGAAAAAGUAGAAACGAUA
rnacentral:miRNA from 1 species